rnacentral:rRNA from 1 species
GAUGAACGCUAGCGGGAGGCCUAACACAUGCAAGCCGAGCGGGAUUUGUUGGUUAGCUUGCUAACUAACAAUGAGAGCGGCGUACGGGUGCGUAGCACGUGUGCAACCUGCCUUUAUCUGGGGGAUAGCCUUUCGAAAGGAAGAUUAAUACCCCAUAACAUAUUGAUUGGCAUCAGUUAAUAUUGAAAGCUCCGGCGGAUAGAGAUGGGCACGCGUAAGAUUAGCUAGUUGGUGAGGUAACGGCUCACCAAGGCUGCGAUCUUUAGGGGGCCUGAGAGGGUGAUCCCCCACACUGGUACUGAGACACGGACCAGACUCCUACGGGAGGCAGCAGUGAGGAAUAUUGGACAAUGGGUGAGAGCCUGAUCCAGCCAUCCCGCGUGAAGGACUAAGGACCUAUGGUUUGUAAACUUCUUUUAUACAGGGACAAACCUACUCUCGUGAGGGUAGCUGAAGGUACUGUAUGAAUAAGCACCGGCUAACUCCGUG